UACGUAGGGGCCUAGCGUUGUCCGGAUUUAUUGGGCGUAAAGAGCUCGUAGGCGGUUCGGUAAGUCAGGUGUGAAAUCUCCACGCUCAACGUGGAGGCGCCACCUGAAACUGCCGUGACUCGAGUCCGGUAGGGGAGUGUGGAAUUCCCGGUGUAGCGGUGAAAUGCGUAGAUAUCGUAAGGAAGACCAGUGGCGAAGGCGGGUCUCUGGACAGUUCCUGACGCUGAGGCACGAAGGUCAGGGGAGCAAACGGG
rnacentral:rRNA from 1 species